rnacentral:rRNA from 1 species
UACGUAGGGAGCAAGCGUUAUCCGGAUUUACUGGGCGUAAAGAGCGUGUAGGCGGCCAGGUAGGUCUGCUGUGAAAACUCGAGGCUCAACCUUUGAAUGUCAGCGGAUACUGCCGGGCUAGAGUCCGGAAGAGGCGAGUGGAACUCCUGGUGUAGCGGUGGAAUGCGCAGAUAUCAGGAAGAACACCAACGGCGAAGGCAGCUCGCUGGGACGGAACUGACGCUGAGGCGCGAAAGCGUGGGGAGCGAACAGG